rnacentral:rRNA from 1 species
CCUACGGGUGGCAGCAGUGGGGAAUAUUGGACAAUGGGGGGAACCCUGAUCCAGCCAUGCCGCAUGUGUGAAGAAGGCCCUCGGGUUGUAAAGCACUUUCAGUGAGGAAGAACGCCUGGUGGUUAAUACCCAUCAGGAAAGACAUCACUCACAGAAGAAGCACCGGCUAACUCCGUGCCAGCAGCCGCGGUAAUACGGAGGGUGCGAGCGUUAAUCGGAAUUACUGGGCGUAAAGCGCGCGUAGGUGGCUUGAUAAGCCGGUUGUGAAAGCCCCGGGCUCAACCUGGGAACGGCAUCCGGAACUGUCAAGCUAGAGUGCAGGAGAGGAAGGUAGAAUUCCCGGUGUAGCGGUGAAAUGCGUAGAGAUCGGGAGGAAUACCAGUGGCGAAGGCGGCCUUCUGGACUGACACUGACACUGAGGUGCGAAAGCGUGGGUAGCAAACAGGAUUAGAUACCCCAGUAGUC